GUUCGAAUCAUGAGAUGUGCAUGUGUGAUAAUUAGUAAAAAGAAAGAAAGAAAAGAAAAAAAACAUAAUAGUGUGUGUGUGGAGAGUUAUAAGAAUUCUUAAAAGUGAGACCAAAUGUGGUUAGAACCAUAUUUUGUGAGAAAUGUGAGACUAGAAACCAAACCAAAUCCAUUUUUCUAAAUGUGAUUUCAAAUGGAUCCAAAUU
rnacentral:lncRNA from 1 species